UGAGGUGUAGCUCAGUGAUAGAGUGCUUGCUUAGCAUAUGCCAAAUCUUGAGUUCAAUCCCCAACACUACAC
rnacentral:tRNA from 1 species